rnacentral:rRNA from 1 species
GACGAACGCUGGCGGCGUGCUUAACACAUGCAAGUCGAACGGUGAAGGCGGAGCUUGCUCUGCCGGAUCAGUGGCGAACGGGUGAGUAACACGUGGGCGACCUGCCCCUCACUUCGGGAUAACUCCGGGAAACCGGGGCUAAUACCGGAUACGACCUCCUUGGGCAUCUUUGGAGGUGGAAAGUUUUUCGGUGAGGGAUGGGCCCGCGGCCUAUCAGCUUGUUGGGGAGGUAGUGGCUCACCAAGGCGACGACGGGUAGCCGGCCUGAGAGGGCGACCGGCCACACUGGGACUGAGACACGGCCCAGACUCCUACGGGAGGCAGCAGUGGGGAAUAUUGCGCAAUGGGCGAAAGCCUGACGCAGCAACGCCGCGUGCGGGAUGAAGGCCUUCGGGUUGUAAACCGCUUUCAGCAGGGAAGAAGCCGCAAGGUGACGGUACCUGCAGAAGAAGCACCGGCUAACUACGUGCCAGCAGCCGCAGUAA